rnacentral:rRNA from 1 species
UACGGAGGGUGCAAGCGAUAUCCGGAAUCACUGGGCGUAAAGGGCGCGUAGGCGGCCUGUUAAGUCCGAUAUUAAAGACUGGGGCUCAACCCCAGCAUUGCGUUGGAUACCGGCAGGCUUGACGGUUGGAGAGGCGAGUGGAAUUACCAGUGUAGCGGUGAAAUGCGUAGAGAUUAGGAAGAACACCAGUGGCGAAGGCGAUUCUCUGGACUGUAACUGACGCUGAGGCUCGAAAGCGUGGGGAGCAAACAGGAUUAGAUA